CAUUUCAGGCUGCAGCUUUGUCUCUGACCUCUUAUUGGGCAGUGAUUUCAGCCCUGUUUUAUUGCAACCAGUGGCGGCUAUUUUCAAGCCACAUCUUCAUCUUCUGUCCAACAUGAGGCCACGACCUGGGCUCUGAACCAGUUUUUGGGUCAUGACUUCAGCUCUGGUCCCUGCUCCUGCCCCUAUCUGGGUCAUGACUUCAGCUCCACUCCCAUAUAGGGCUAUGAAUUCUAUUCCAACCUCAUCUUGAGAUGCAGCAUCAGUGGCACUGCCUGAGACAGGUCUGGCUUAACAACAGAUUGCUACUUCACUCCAGUGUCUGUUUGGUUUGUGACUUUAGCUAGGGUUGGAUAGCAGGUUGUGACUUUGGCUCUAGGCCCAUGUUGGUCUGUUCUUCAUCUCAGUGGUCAUGAUUUUGGCUCUGGCCCAAUAAUUGUCUGUGACUUCAGUUUCUGCCCUACCUUUGGCCACCACUUGCCUCCAACUCAAAUUUGGCUCUGGUCCAUGCUCAGGCAGCAAGUGCUGCUCUGGCUGCUGUAUAGGCAGCAGUGUAGUCUCUGGCCCCCAUCUCUGGCCAUGGCUUUGGUUCUAGUCCAUCAUGGCUUAUGAUUUUUUUGGCUCUGACACUACCUCAGGUGGCAACUGCUGCUUUGGCCUGAUACUGGGCUGUGAUUUUUGUUCCAGUCUCUGUUGGGAUGUUACUUUGACUCUAGGCCCAUCUUCAGCUGCUCUGGUCAUUGCUUGGGCUGUGGUUUUUGUCUCUUGCCAUCUUAAGCCACACCUUAGGCUCCAGCCACACAGUGAGUUGUGGUGUAGGCUCUGGCUCUGCAUUGGUUUGCAACUUCAGCUCCAGCCCCAUCUUGGCAUGUGAUUUCAGAUCUGGCCUCAGCUUGGACCUUGACAUCUACUCUAGUUCCAUCCUGGGGCCCCAGUUUUGGCAUUGAUUCCCUGCUCUGAUCACAGCAUGUACUCUUCUCUUGGGUUGUAACUUUCAGUCUAGCCUUACAUUUGAGUGCUGUUCCAAUUUCAGGUGGAGCCCCAUUGCAGGUUGCAGCUUUGUCAACUAUCAGGCCGUAAGGUUCGUUCCAGGGCACUACUUCAGCUUCUACUUGGGCUGUGACUUCGUUUUCAGCUUCUGCUCUGGCAGGCACUCAGUGCCUUCAUGUAUGCACCUAUUGCAGAGGUAAACAGGUGAUGCUCUACAGCAGUGUUACGUGUGAGGCCGGGAGCAGACAGAAGCGUGGCACAGGAAUAAUUGUGAAGAGUAGUACUUUCACAUUUUGUUUGGGAAGAUAACCCCUUUAAAUAACAGACAACAUUUUUCAUUGACUUUCAAAUAUAUCAAACAAAUGGAAUGCGGCAAAGGAAGAGGAAACAAUGUGUUAUAUGGACAAGACUUCAGGGGCUUUGUGCUCAGUUGCUCUACCUUGUCAACAUAAGGUGUUAAGAUGGGUGGAGGGAGCUCUUAUCACAAUUUCUUUCUAUUCGAAAGCCAGGGAAGCUAACAUCAGCACCAAAGGAAAAAAGAAAGCCCAUCUUUAUAUUACAGUAGAAAACUGUAUAUAGAAGUUAUAGAAGACCUGAGUUUCCAAUAUUUAGAGAUGCUGCAUUAUUAGUAUCAUUAUCCAUUUCUACCUAAUAAUUUAAGCCUUCUUCUGAGCAUGCAGACACUUUAGCAUCAGGAACAAUAACAGGCAGUAAUUUACUAACAGUUACUAGAACCUACAAUCUGAAGGCCUAUUGCCAGAGUAUAAAAUGGAAACCUAGUAAGAUGUGACAGACAGCACUAACCGUGCUGUUUCAUAAACUGCCACUGUUUAGUCUCGUAUCAUGAGCAGUCAUUCUGAAAGUUAUUUUUCCACUUCAACAGGGUCCUGCUCUUCUGGCAUGACAAACUGAAGCUUUGUUAUAAUUAGUUACUAGUUAAAUAUUUGUUUUCCUCAGCCAAAUACCUACUUUAGCAGCUAGCUUUAGAGUUUCAAGAAAAGUAAUCUUCACUCUAUAUGAAAUGUCUGGAUGUAAGCAUCAACCUGAAUUCAACCAAAGCAAAUAUUUUUAUAGCUAAAGACCUUUAUUCCUCUGACAUGAGCUAAAUUUAGAAUGACAUUUCGAUCUAUAGCUCCCAGAAAGGGCAAUUAUGCCAGCUGGUUAGAGUAACUAAAACAAACACUUGUGCAGUAAGGCAUUCUGAUGUCAGUGUCCCAUCCUUGCCACCAUGAACUGUCCUUGUUUCACGCUUUCUAUUAUUAAAUAUACAACAUUAGCAGUCCAGAGAUAAAUAUUUGCUCAUAUUUAGCAAAUUUAGCAAAACUAUUUGCAGAUAAAUAAAACCUCUUUCAUCUGAACUAGCAAACUAGCAGCUUAUAGUUGAUGUAGUGAUGUUUUUCUAAUAAAUGCCAUUUUCCAGAGCAGUAUCUGGCCCAUGCUAUAACUAAAAGAAACUAAAAUUAGAAUACUUAAUUUAUCUUUUUUUUUUUUCAACCACACAAAUAUUUAAUUUCCAAUUAAAAAGUCUGGCCCACAGUAGCAAUUUUUUCAGUGGAUGGUAGGAAAGACAGGAAACAGAAAUAAAAAAGGAAAGGAUAUACAUAGAUUGUGAACAGCUAAAUGAGGUUAAUGAUAUGAAAAUCCAGUGAUGAGGGAAGAUGGGAUGAAGCAGGGAAGAAGUGGUGAAAUACCCCGACGUCCAACAGCAAAAAAAGAAAAGGUCUAUGAAGAUCUCACCUAAUCAGGAUUCCAAAUCCCUCUCUUUACCUUUUAAGAGGUUACUAAUAAUUUCAGUGCUGUUUACAUCCAUGCAUAAUUCUGGGGAGAUGAGCAUUCCUUCAAACAUUGGCAACACACUUGGUACACAGCAAUAACUGGAUGACAGCAGUAUGUAUGUGACACUCUCAUGAACCCUAUAUACUUUCAAUAUUAACCUUAUAUUUUAGUUAAAAUGUAGCCACAUUUCCCCAUUACAUAUAAAGGCACUUUUUAACAUGCAAUAAUAAUUUAUAUGUCCUUUCACCUGUGAAAGUCAGUCUCAAUUCAACCGUGGUAUUGUGCAUUGCAACAAAAUAUCAACUUACUUCAUGGCUGCAUAGUAAAAGGAUCCAAACCAUACAGUGGAAGUCAGAAGAUGCACUGGAAUCAUGACUUUUCCAUACUGUUUAAAAGUUUUCUUGAAUCUCUGAACGAGACUAAUUGAUUUAUCUUGUAAUGGAUCAGGAUCUAAAGGAUCUGACUCUGCAGGGCUCUGCUUGGGUGUAUCAGUGGCCGAAGGCAAGGGAUUUCUCUCUUCUUUGUGAGGAGUGUCUGCU